UGACUUUCAGCAGGCCGAGUAU
rnacentral:siRNA from 1 species